rnacentral:rRNA from 1 species
UACGUAGGGGGCUAGCGUUAUCCGGAAUUAUUGGGCGUAAAGAGCUCGUAGGCGGUUUGUCGCGUCUGCCGUGAAAGUCCGGGGCUCAACUCCGGAUCUGCGGUGGGUACGGGCAGACUAGAGUGAUGUAGGGGAGACUGGAAUUCCUGGUGUAGCGGUGAAAUGCGCAGAUAUCAGGAAGAACACCCGUGGCGAAGGCGGCUCUCUGGGACGGUACUGACGCUGAGGCGCGAAAGCGUGGGGAGCAAACAGG